AUGAAAAGUUACAUCUAAUGGCAAGACAUGGUAUGCUAACGUUGUAUGCUAACGUUUUGGUCAAAAUGUAAUAUAGCUGAAUUCACCUGUAAAAAAAACUGCAUUAUUGUAAUGAAAUAAUAAAGAAUACCAGACAAACGUGUAACAAAAUAAUCAGUUUAACAGGAAAAAAGUAACAACAAACAAAAAUAACAUAAAUGCAGGCUAUCUCCUAUACUUUUAGGGAAAAAGUUAAAUCUACAACCCAAUCCCACAAUGGAGGCUUUUCCUUCCAGGUAAUCAGGUCCCCUUGAGUUCUGCAUUCAAAGCUGGCAAGCCAAUAUAUGAUUCUACUGUGAAAUGCCUCCAGAGCUCCUAAAGGGAUUACAUAGCCCACUGGCUCCUGCAAUAAGUGAAUACUGCUAAAGGUCUGUAUUUACUCUGCAAUUGCAUCCUGAUGCCUGCUCCUCCUGCACAGGGAUUUACCAGGCAAUUCAAUAACUGCACACACAGCAACCACUUUUCAUUGAUCCUGCCUCAUGAAGCUCUGUUCAAGCUCUGCGAAGGUCUCCUCAUGUUGAACCACUUAGACUUGAUUAAGCGAGUCAAAAAUGUCAUGAAGGCCUACACAUUUGCCUGUAUAUUUCUCUAAGCUCUUUGUUACCAUGGUAACCCUGUCUCUUGCCCUGUUCUCUCAGGCUGAGAGCACCGAGUUAAAGUACACUACAAAGGAAGGGGACAGCAGGAUCAGACGCUUGUCCCAUGGCCUUCAUGUCAGCUAAAUGAUGAUCAAAAGAAAAACACAGCAAUUUACUGGAUUUCAAGCUCAACUUUUACCAGCAAGGUAAAUGAACAGAUGAUCAGACAGACAAAGCAGUGGAUUACAGCAGACAUACUGCGAUGCUAUUGAUAUCAGGAAAAAAAAAAAAAACCUUCAUUGUGUUAGGCUGCUGUGAAAUUGAAAUGUAGUGUACGUAAAAUACACUAAACUUCAAAGUACUAAAAGCUUGCACAAAGAAAAAGAUCAAAAGAUAAAAAAGACUUGGGUUUAUCAUAAAUACCUCUCCAAACAAGCUCUGUUUUAAAGAGUACUAGUUGCAUACAGGAACAACUGCGGUAGACUGCCGGUUCUUGCAGAGGGCAAAGAGAGGGUAGAGCUCCACCUCAUAGAUCUUGCAGGUUAGACCUGUCCACUUCGAGUAGAAUAUCAUGUAGUGGAUAUCCUGGGAUCGUUGUCUCUUUCAGAAGAUUAAUGGCUGCCUCCUGUCUCCAUUCUUUUUUUUUAUGUAACUGGUAGAUGUGAGCAUGUGCCUUGUCUGGAGAGCUGACUAUUUCCUAGUAAACUCUUAGAAAAAAGGGUUGUAUGUUCAAGAGUUUCCUCUUGGGGAAUCCUUAAAGGCUGUUUGUACUGUAGAAUCCUAUAAUAAAGUGUUUUCCUAUCAGAAAGAUCAGAAGUAAAACUUCUUUUGGAAGCUAAGAAUAUUUAAAGUGAAAGAAAACUUAAAAACCGCUUUAAGUUGCCUGGCCUGUGGGAAAAUGCAAAUCCUUGGCUUUAUUUAGAGAAGAGUACAGUGUGUCAAAAUGUCUAGUUUGAGAUCAUUUUUAUGCCGGGUCAUGUGCAGCACCAUGUUGCCACUUGUCCGUAGUCACCAAGUUAGCAAUCUAACUAGCAG